CUUUGUCUACAGGGGAGAUCUAAGACUUUUCAAGGAUGAGAAGACACUGGCAUAGAAUAAUUAUAAGAAUAAAGAAAACUUGCCAAGGAACAACAAAGCCAGAGCGAACCAUUUAUGAAAAAGAAACAUAGUCCACAUCUUUCUCAGCCAAGCUACCAACCUACUGGAGUUGUGGGCCCCGAACUUUGUGUGUCAUUUCUCGAGCCAGUGCACCUGGGUACUCCCUUUGAUCCUAAACCACGUGAUGGAGGAAGUGAUUCAACUGCGGACAAUGUAUUCUGUACCCAACACACAAGCAGAACUGUUAAGCAAGACCAGGCCGACCCUACCAGGAGCCAAGCCGUCAUCUCAUUGCCUGACAACCAAGAACAAUGCAUCUGCUGAAUUCCGGGACUGCAUGCAAUUGCAUUCUGUUCCCAACCUUACCCCAGCCCAUUUUUCCUAUAUAAUCCUGUCCCCUGCACCCUAUGGGCAAAACAAGCUUUGGAUGCAUGUAAGCUCCCUGUCUUCUUGGUUUGCUGGCCUUCUCAAUAAAUGCCUUAUAUGAUUCA